UCUAAGACCCUCACUGAUUGUAAUAUAAUAUAUGUAUGUUUAGAUGCAAAUACAUUUUAGUAUAUGUAACUGAUUUCUCGAGUACGUAUUUAAUAAAACAUUACAUCAUACGUUUUUUUUAUUGACCCGAUAUCUUUAUUAGGCUGAGAACUGCAAGUCAAACUUGCGGUUUUCGGCCUGAUAAAACUUGGUGAAUGGAUUAUUAGGAAUCAAAUAUCGGAGAAAUUCCUCACAUUCCCAAUAGUUUGUUUCCUCGCUUCGCUAGAUGGAGUGCUGAAUUUAUUUCCAUAACCUAUCAUUGCAGUUUCCAUUCUAAGGGGGUAUGUUCUGUGAAAAUGGCAUCAUAGAGAAAGUAAAAUUAUUUUACUUACUCUAUGAAUGGCAUCCUGGUCAGCCAUGUUGCCGAACUGCCACCAAAGUAGAAAAUCACCAUGAAAACAAAAAAGUAAUUCAUUCAAGGUUCACAACUUAGCAGAAUUACAUCCAUACAUGAAAUAGUAGACGACAAGCUCAUACAUAUGAUUGUGCGCUUAAUUUAGCCGGGGCCCAGAUGAUGGCAGCCAGCGGUUUGAAAUAUUAAAUUAAUUGUCUUUGGUUUCUCUAUGGAUGUCUAUGAAUGUCUUAAUCGGUUAAUUGGAAUUGUGAUGAGAGUCAGAAAAGUAGUGGAAAUCUAUCAUCUGGGUAUUACUAAUUACUAUCUAUUUUAUAGUAAAUAGUUAAGUAUAUUAAAUGAUUUGUUUUCAUGUAAA